rnacentral:tRNA from 1 species
GGACUGGUAGCUCAGUUGGUAGAGCACUGGAUUGAAAAUCCAGGUGUCGGGGGUUCGAGUCCCCCCCGGUCCA